rnacentral:rRNA from 1 species
GACGAACUGUGCGAACGUUGUUCGGAAUCACUGGGCUUAAAGGGUGCGUAGGCGGGCUUGUAAGUCAGUGGUGAAAGCCCGGAGCUUAACUCCGGAAUUGCCGUUGAUACUGCAAGUCUUGAGUACAGUUGAGGUGGGCGGAAUACAUCAUGUAGUAGUGAAAUACUUAGAUAUGAUGUAGAACACCGAUUGCGAAGGCAGCUCACUAAAGUGUAACUGACGCUGAGGCACGAAAGCGUGGGGAUCAAACAGG